UGUUUGGUCUGGUCGGCAUCUCUUUUUGUUUCAAAUGUACGGUGCCGGCCACACGGGAUUCCUUCACGCUGCCGACUUCCAUGUCAACACAAAGAGUGCAGAAACCGCAACAGAAGGCCACUUGCCACUUCGUUGCAAAGGAGACUACUAAGGAGGCGUUUCUGGAUGACACGGCCUGUUCGAGCCUUCCAUUGUGGGAUGAAUAGUUAUUCCCAUCAUUAGAGCCUUCACCAAAUGAGAUUGGAGGUUCAGCACAGUGUUGCUACGGCAGCAACAACUGCGCCUGCUACUGACUCUGCUGCCACCUCAUAUCCUGCAGCCACACCAACUAAAUGUGCUGCCUCUUCUGGUCCUGCAGCCUUAGCAGUCACACUGCCUUCUGCCUCUGAUGCUGACAUGUCGCAGUGUUCGUUCAGCAAGGAUGAACAGCUAAGAUAAUCAAGGAUCCACAAGGAGUAUUAUAGGUUGACCUGCCUAACGGUGGGACGCUAUCAAGGACCGCCUCGAGAAAGGACUUCCAUUUGGUUCAGCGGUCCACCAUCGCAAUAUGGUGGACAGAUGCCCACGCACAUAGGAGCUUCACGGGAACGAACCGUUUUGCAGUAGCAGGCGGCCAGAAGCCUGCACAUCGGCCAUUCCCCACAUAAAGUGGGAGCAUAGAGAGUCUCUUCCAGGCACUACUGUGCUGCCCAAAGCCUUU
rnacentral:lncRNA from 1 species